GUAAAUCAUUCGUUAACAUUCUUGAGAUGAUUUGAGUCAAAUGCUAACAAGAGCUGCAUAUUUCCCACAGAAUCUCCUCCAAAACGUACUUUUUUUUGUUUAUUAAUUGUGACAUACAUUUGUAUUUUUCACAAUAUGCAGCGUGAGAACCGACGCCAGGUGACCUUGGGCGAGAGCGAGCGGAUGUUCACUGGGUGUCCACAGCUGAGAUGUUUUGACCAUAUAGGGCCGCCUCUUUGUGCACAGCAAAAUGACUGAAACGUUCCUCGCUUGGACUUGCUUCAGAGGACUGGUGUUGCUUGUGUUAAGUGCCUUCUCCACUUGAACUCCGCAUACUCCUUAGUCCUCACUGCGCUAUGCAGUUGUGUAAAUAUUGAAUCAAAGCACACAGUCACACUAUACAAGGAGAUUUAAUUGGACUUGUUGCGUUAAUUGAAAUAAAAGUAUUUGUCAGCCUCCGCUACCCCCGCCCCCCAUUAGCCUCUCAGAAUCCAUUUUUGACUCAUUUGAGUUUGUUUAGAGAGUUGAGAAAAUCCUCCUCCUCCUCCUGACUGUGCUUUACUGAACUACAUCCUCUCUGUUUUCAGUCAUGUUGUUAG